GUAGGUGAACCUGCGGAAGGAUCAUUACCUAGAGUUUGUAGACUUCGGUCUGCUACCUCUUACCCAUGUCUUUUGAGUACCUUCGUUUCCUCGGCGGGUCCGCCCGCCGAUUGGACAACAUUCAAACCCUUUGCAGUUGCAAUCAGCGUCUGAAAAAACAUAAUAGUUACAACUUUCAACAACGGAUCUCUUGGUUCUGGCAUCGAUGAAGAACGCAGCGAAAUGCGAUAAGUAGUGUGAAUUGCAGAAUUCAGUGAAUCAUCGAAUCUUUGAACGCACAUUGCGCCCCUUGGUAUUCCAUGGGGCAUGCCUGUUCGAGCGUCAUUUGUACCUUCAAGCUCCGCUUGGUGUUGGGUGUUUGUCUCGCCUCUGCGUGUAGACUCGCCUUAAAACAAUUGGCAGCCGGCGUAUUGAUUUCGGAGCGCAGUACAUCUCGCGCUUUGCACUCAUAACGACGACGUCCAAAAGUACAUUUUUACACUCUUGACCUCGGAUCAGGUAGGGAUACCCGCUGAACUUAAGCAUAUCA
rnacentral:rRNA from 1 species